AUGUUCCUUCCUCCGUCUCAAAAUUCUUGUCUUAGGUUUGUUUACAAAUGGAUGUAUCUAAUUAUUAAAAUGUGACUAGAUACAUUCAUAUUUAGACAAAUAUAAGACAAUAAUUUUGGGACGGAGGGAGUAUUAU
rfam:Hordeum vulgare subsp. vulgare, WGS project CAJW01000000 data, contig: morex_contig_139189